CCUACGGGGGGCUGCAGUGGGGAAUAUUGGACAAUGGGGGGAACCCUGAUCCAGCCAUGCCGCGUGUGUGAAGAAGGCCCUCGGGUUGUAAAGCACUUUCAGUGAGGAAGAACGCCUGGUGGUUAAUACCCAUCAGGAAAGACAUCACUCACAGAAGAAGCACCGGCUAACUCCGUGCCAGCAGCCGCGGUAAUACGGAGGGUGCGAGCGUUAAUCGGAAUUACUGGGCGUAAAGCGCGCGUAGGUGGUUUGAUAAGCCGGUUGUGAAAGCCCCGGGCUCAACCUGGGAACGGCAUCCGGAACUGUCAAGCUAGAGUGCAGGAGAGGAAGGUAGAAUUCCCGGUGUAGCGGUGAAAUGCGUAGAGAUCGGGAGGAAUACCAGUGGCGAAGGCGGCCUUCUGGACUGACACUGACACUGAGGUGCGAAAGCGUGGGUAGCAAACAGGAUUAGAUACCCCGGUAGUC
rnacentral:rRNA from 1 species